UACGUAGGAUCCGAGCGUUGUCCGGAAUUACUGGGUGUAAAGGGCGUGUAGGUGGGUCUCUCAGUCGGUGGUGAAAUCCUGCAGCUCAACUGCAGAAUUGCUUCCGAUACUGGAGGUCUUGAGUGCGGCAGAGGGAGAUGGAAUUCAUGGUGUAGCGGUGAAAUGUGUAGAUAUCAUGAAGAACACCGGUAGCGAAGGCGGUCUCCUGGUCCGUUACUGACACUGAGGCGCGAAAGCGUGGGGAGCAAACAGG
rnacentral:rRNA from 1 species